UGAACGACGACGAGGACUACGUGGUGCCGGAUGUGCUGCCGGAGUUCACGUUCAUUGGGCAGUACUGCACGGUCGACCCGAUUGUGGUGAAGGAAGCGGUGGAGGAGUGCAUCAAGCGCGGUGACACGCUCUGCGCCCGCGCCAUCCAGCGUGGCGUUGGCAUCCACCACGCCGGUGUGAAGGGUAAGCUGCGUCGCAUGAUGGAGAUCCUCUUCCGCGGUCGUCACUGCGGCGUCAUCUGCGCCACAGAGACGCUCGCCCUGGGUGUGCACAGCCCGUGCCGCUCCGUCGUUCUCGCCGGCGACCACGUGCUGCUCAACACGACGCAGUUCCGCCAGAUGAUGGGCCGCGCCGGUCGCCGUGGGCUCGACUACCUUGGACACCUCAUCUUCCUCAGCGUCAGCAUGAAGAAGAUUACGCGCCUCAUGACGAGCAGCAUGACGGUGAUCAAGGGCAACGUGCAGGUGGACCCGAUAACGCAGCUGCGCCUGAUGCAGCUCUACGACUACGCCCGCCACCGCGAUCUCAAAUGGGCGGAGGAGUGGAGCCGGCGCGCGCUGGGUAUGGCGGAGCGCCUAUAUGUCAACCCCCUCUUCUUCGCCGGGCGGGCGGCGAUGGAGGAUGGCAACAUGGAGCCCUUCACGGUCGAGUUCGCGCAGAUGCUGCUCGGCUUCCUGCACCGCGAGGGGUUGCACUUCAAGGACCGGCCCUCCUCGCUCGGUUCCCUGCUCGUGGACGCCAUGUACGUGUUCCGCAACGCGCAGGUCGGCGCCGAGGGCUUCGCGUUCAUCUCCAUGAUCACGCGCAAGGUGUUCGCCAAGGCACGCCUGGCGCGCCGCUUCCGCUAUCUGGCGCCGUCCGACGACGCGGUCGUGCAAGAGGCCAAGGCGGAGCUCCUCGCGUACCUCUUUUCCGUAAACAAGGUGUGCGGGGUGCCGCUGGAGCUCCACCGCUCUGCGCUGAGCGACCCAGCCGUGAUCGAGCUGUGGUCCGGCCGCCGCGUGGCGAAGCAGCACCGCGUCGUGCUGGCGCCGCUGGACGUCUGCUCGCCGGCGACGAAGCCGUUCAGCUACGUGUCCGUGUUCCGCAUGAUCUCCGCCUUCUAUACGUACCUCGCCAGCACGCUAAAGGAGCCGGCGGACACGCGGCUGCCGUACAUGUGCGCCAAGACGAAGAAGAAACACUGCAUCUUCGGCGGCACGUCGGACAUGCCGCUGAUGGCGAAGUUGAAGGAGACGGCCGAGCCGUACGCCGCCCGUGACCCCUUUGUGGCCAUCAGCGGCUGCGGCGACCACUUCGUGCACAGCGAGGACCUCGUCACGACGCUGCGCCGCGGCCUCUUCUGCGACCGCCGCAUGCUGCCAGUGCUGGACCUGACGGACGGCUGCCGCCACGAUGGGGCGCAGGUGCUGAUCAACGCCUGCAUCACCGACUUUGUGCGCUGCAAGGCGCAGAUCGACUCGGUCCGCUCGAACUUCCGCUUCACCCUGCUCGAGGAACUGAACGGCCUGAGCCAGUCCGAGAGCUACGCCGUGCUGAACCAGACGGAGCGGCUGCUGUCGAACAUAUCGGGGCUGACGCGAGACGACAAGUACACGCCGCUGCAGGUGCUGAGCGCCCUCUACCCCGAGCGCGAGCGUGGCGAGAACGUCGCCGAGGAGGACCUCAAAUUCUACGCGGGCACGCUCGGCGUGAUGGACUUUGCCAGCCAGCUGCACGAGCUGCGGCCGCACAUUGACAAGGAGCUGGCGAUGGUGCAGUGGAUGGCCCGCAUCGCCGAGAUGCGACGCGCAAAGAAGUAGUAGUAGUAGUACGGCGUCGUUUGGUGUGUGUGGGUGGAAGGCGAUGGUGCUGUGAGGCUGAUGGGCCAACACGUGAGCUGCUUGCUCGUCGGUUCGACCGAACUCCGCCUAUGCUCAUUCGCCUGCCGAUGUGAAUGCUCCCUGUCUGCCGCGCUCCUCCUCCACCGUUGUUAUGCGUCGUCGUCGGUGAAGUCUUAUCUUGGGUGUUUCUAACGCCGUUGUGGAUGGGGCGGCGCAGGGCCCCGGUCCUGGUCGCGACUUGGCCAGCUCCUUAUUAGUAAAACAUGCUUUCUAACGAUAUGUCGGUGCGUGUGUGACGCACGAGUGAUCCCGCCCUG
rnacentral:misc_RNA from 1 species